AGAGUUUGAUCCUGGCUCAGAGCGAACGCUGGCGGCGUGCUUAACACAUGCAAGUCGAACGCGCAGCAUUCUGUAGCAAUACAGGGUGUGGGCGCGUGGCGAACGGGUGCGUAACACGUGGAUAACCUUCCUUCAGGUGGGGAAUAACCCAGUGAAAAUUGGGCUAAUACCGCAUAACAUGACGAUGCCACAUGGUGUUGUCUUCAAAGCCGCAAGGCGCCAGAAGAGGGAUCCGCGGCCGAUUAGCUUGUUGGCGAGGUAAUGGCUCACCAAGGCUUUGAUCGGUAGCCGGACUGAGAGGUUGGCCGGCCACACUGGAACUGAGACACGGUCCAGACUCCUACGGGAGGCAGCAGUGGGGAAUCUUGCACAAUGGACGAAAGUCUGAUGCAGCAACGCCGCGUGGGGGAUGAAGCUUUUCGGAGUGUAAACCCCUUUCGACCCGGAAGAAUGCCCGCAAGGGUUUGACGGUACGGGUAUAAGAAGCCCCGGCUAACUACGUGCCAGCAGCCGCGGUAAUACGUAGGGGGCCAGCGUUGCUCGGAAUUACUGGGCGUAAAGGGUCCGUAGGCGGUGUGGCAAGUCGGGAGUGAAAUCUCUGGGCUUAACCCAGAGGCUGCUUCCGAAACUGCCAUGCUAGAGUGUGAGAGAGGCGAGUGGAAUUACGGGUGUAGCGGUGAAAUGCGUAGAUAUCCGUAGGAACAUCCGAGGCGAAGGCGGCUCGCUGGAUCACAACUGACGCUGAGGGACGAAAGCUAGGGGAGCAAACAGGAUUAGAUACCCUGGUAGUCCUAGCCCUAAACCAUCAGACUUGGGGUGUGCCCUGUACGGGGCACGUCCCGUAGCUAACGCGUUAAGUCCUGCGCCUGGGGAGUACGGUCGCAAGGCUGAAACUCAAAGGAAUUGACGG
rnacentral:rRNA from 1 species